UACGUAGGUGGCAAGCGUUAUCCGGAAUUACUGGGCGUAAAGCGUGCGCAGGCGGCUUUGCAAGACAGAUGUGAAAUCCCCGGGCUUAACCUGGGAACUGCAUUUGUGACUGCAUGGCUGGAGUGCGGCAGAGGGGGAUGGAAUUCCGCGUGUAGCAGUGAAAUGCGUAGAUAUGCGGAGGAACACCGAUGGCGAAGGCAAUCCCCUGGGCCUGCACUGACGCUCAUGCACGAAAGCGUGGGGAGCAAACAGG
rnacentral:rRNA from 1 species